AUUGAACGCUGGCGGCAGGCCUAACACAUGCAAGUCGAACGGAGUGGCGGACGGGUGAGUAAUGUCUGGGAAACUGCCUGAUGGAGGGGGAUAACUACUGGAAACGGUAGCUAAUACCGCAUACUAUCAGAUGAGCCUAGGUUGGAUUAGCUAGUUGGUGGGGUAAAGGACUACCAAGGCGACGAUCCUUACCUGGUCUGAGAGGAUGAUCCGUCACCCUGGAACUGAGACACGUGCCAGACUCCUACGGGAGGCAGCAGUGGGGAAUAUUGGGCAAUGGGCGAAAGCCUGAUCCAGCCAUGCCGCGUGUGUGAAGAAGGUCUUCGGAUUGUAAAGCACUUUAAGUUGAGAGGCGUUACCAACAGAAUAAGCACCGGCUAACUUCGUGCCAGCAGCCGCGGUAAUAC
rnacentral:rRNA from 1 species